rnacentral:lncRNA from 1 species
AGGCCUUAGAAGAAACCAGCCCCGGAACACUUUGAUCUUGGAUGUCUAGACUCCAGAACUAAAGAAAUUCGCUGCCAAACUCCGUAUUUGAGAUCCUGGACCUUCCACGCUGCCCACAUCAGGAGCUUUAGCCAGCAGCCUGGUCCUCAACUACAUGCUAAUCCCCGCCGGACCAUCGUUCAGUUUUAUUCACAGAAACGGUGCCUUCAAGAAAUCAAAGCAUAAGAGCCUUCGGAAGCAGCAUGUAAGUGCAACGUAACUUUCCCGAGUUUGGUGACGAUGAAUCGAUGAAUCGUAGACUGCAGGCUGAGCCGCCUGAGCUGGGAGCAGCAGCAGUUCUCAGGGAGCCACUGCCCCCUGGUGUCUCCACACUGGCCAGGAAGCAUUUUUGGUCAUGAUCUGUAAGAGAUUAUUGCUGGGCUCUUUCUGACUCGUGCCUUCAUCUCAUGGCUUUUAAAAUCAGACCUUUCUUCCUCCUCUCCCCCACUCUGAUUUUUAAUAAGACCCAUUUUAUUAUAAUUAGCAAAAUAGUGUAUACUCCUUGAAGAAAAUUUGAGUAUGAUUAUUUAAUUUCAUUAAUGUUUUAAUGUAUUUCCUCCCCCAAUUUUUUUUCUUUCUACGUAUAAGGAAAUCUAAUUUUACUUGGGGACAGAAGAAAAGCCACAAAAACUAUGAAACCUAAUUUUAUCAUAAAUGUCACAUAAACACGAUCCCCUGCACAGUAAGAAAACCAGUUUUUGAAUCUGCUAGAAUACUAAGAAACAGAGUUGAUGUUUCUCUCUUAAACAAUAUAAAACAUAAAGGAUAGCACUUUAGAUCAUAGGCCCUCAUAAAAUGUGCCUGUAGUUUCAAUACUAUGGAUUAAGAAUACUGGAGCGGGUUUUGGCCGGGCUCGGUGGCUCACGCCUGUAAUCC